AGAUUAGCUCAGUUGGUUAGAGCAUGGUGCUUAUAAUGCCAAGGUCAUGGAUUUGAUCCCUGUGGGGUCUA